rnacentral:rRNA from 1 species
GAUGAACGCUGGCGGCGUGCCUAACACAUGCAAGUCGAGCAAUUCUCUUCGGAGAAGAGCGGCGGACGGGUGAGUAACGCGUGGGUAACCUGCGCGGUACACACGGAUAACAUACCGAAAGGUAUGCUAAUACGAGAUAAUAUGCUUUUAUCGCAUGGUAGAAGUAUCAAAGUUUUUGCGGUACAGGAUGGAGCCGCGUCUGAUUAGCUAGUUGGUCAGGUAACGGCUUACCAAGGCGACGAUCAGUAGCCGACCUGAGAGGGUGAUCGGCCACAUUGGAACUGAGACACGGUACAAACUCCUACGGGAGGAAGCAGGGGGGAAUAUUGCACAAUGGGCGAAAGCCUGAUGCUGCAACGCCGCGUGAGCGAUGAAGGCCUUCGGGUCGUAAAGCUCUGUCCUCAAGGAAGAUAAUGACGGUACUUGAGGAGGAAGCCCCGGCUAACUACGUGCCAGCAGCCGCCGUAA